GUGCAUUUCAGGUUACUCUAAAUUCAAUGACACUUUCAAUUUUGUUUCCCCAUUUCUAAUUUUUAUGAUUUCUUGUUCUCUCAUUUGCACAUUUAUAUUUCUAUACAACAACCGUAGUUUUCAGUUUCAAUCUUUCUUUUGUUUAUUUCGUCGAAGAAAUGUUUAUGAAAAAUACGUGAAAUCAAUGCUAACCUGUUCCUUUGAUCUUUGCUCUUUGUUUUUUUUUUAGGUUUAAAGUAGUUUUG
rnacentral:lncRNA from 1 species